AGAGAUGGAAGGCAUGAAGCACCCUGGCUGAAUCUCACACCAGCACUGGUGAGCUGAGACCCACAAUAGGAAAUGAAGAAAGCAAGGACUCCUUCUUCAUCAGAAUGUGUUAAUCCCAAAGAUGGGAGGAGAAGACCACUGACCUACAUGAUCAUGACCAAAUGAAUUAAAUUUAAUCAACUCAGAAACUAAAAUUAAUGGCUCGGCUUCAAUGAUGCCACCAGUGAUGACCCAGCUCCAGGAAAGGCUGUGGAUCUCAGUGUGGUAAACACACACUUUGUUUGAACUCCCUCUCCCCUAAGGAGGGCACUGGAUCCAGUCCUCAUAAUCCUAAAGAUGUCCUUGUGAAAGCUGCCAUGAGGUAAACAGCUCUCCUCUGCCACGCACCCGCCGGCAUCACCACACACUGCUCUUCUGCAUCUGCCAUCUUCUUCUCCCUCACCAUGGACCCAGGAUAAAUGGAAAGGGAGCAUGGACCAAACCCUCCGAAACCAGGAACCAAAGCCUCAUAGUAACUGGGUCUCUUCAUAAUGUCUUCCUGUCAGAUUUCUGAUCAAAGUGUUUAAUUAUAAAAAGGUAACCUAUCAG
rnacentral:lncRNA from 1 species